UUUUUGGAAUCUUUUGUUUAAGAGGCAGUUUGUAAAAUUGUUUUAGAUUUUUAUCCCAAACUC
rnacentral:tRNA from 1 species